GUUCCAAUGGAAAUGGCGGCUUCGAGCCCGCGGCGCUCCACCGACGGAGACGAGGCCGAACCCGGCACCGAGUCCGAGCACGAGUCAGACCCUUGGCUCGGACAGGGACCCAUCGUGAAGAGGGAGCCGGCGGUGAAGCUUCCCAGUCCGGUGAGCGGCUUGGAGCCGCUUUCGUGGUCUGAAGACCACCGGCUGUCGGCCUCCAGCACCAGUAACAUCUCUCUAAUGGAGAUUCUGUGCGACGUGCACAGCUGCAGCCAGGAGCUCAUCAUGCAGUGGACCUCCAUCCCCGUGCCGGACGGUGUGUGUGAGCUCACGGUGGGCCUGGACGAAGACGGACUGGAGGAUGAGGGAAAACUGUCCAGUGACAAGGAUGGGGACAGAAAUCCCGGUGCCGGAGGCCAGCUGCCCCAGACUGGCUUCAGGUACACCAGCUGGUCUCCUUUGGGCUGCGACGCCAACGGCCGCUGCCUGCUCGCCUCGCUCACUUUAGACGGCCGCCUCACCGUCUACGGGAAUCUGAACCGGCUGCAGUGGGUGGCUUUGGCGGACCUCACCGAGCUGUACCGCGAGAUGCUGGAAGAGAAGAACUGCUCGGCGUCGGGCUCGGCGGAGGACGCGUCGGAGCUGCAGCGGCGCCGUCGCAUGCAGAACCCCGUGCGCAUGGAGUGGUCCAGCAUGUGCUCCACGCAGCAGGUCCAGAAGAACAACGAGUGCAAAGAUGUGGGUACGGUUCUGCUCGCCGUGCUCAUGGAGAACGGGGACUUGGCCAUCUGGCAGUUUAAACUUCCCUUCCAGGGCAGAGACUCGGUGCUCUCGUGCAACACCAUCCAGUCGGGCGUAUCCGCGCCCAGCGUGCUCGCUUGGUGGGAGUACGAGCACAGCGGGCGAAGGAUGAACGGCCUGAUCGUGGGCAGCUCGGUGGGGCCCGUCAAGAUCCUUCCCGUCAACGUCAAGGCCGUCAAGGGCUAUUUCACCCUGAGGCAGCCCGUGGUGCUGUGGCAGGAGACGGACCAGAUCCCGGUGCACAACAUCAAGUGCGUCUCGCUCUUCCACCCGUACCAGAAGUGCAACUGCAGCCUGGUGGUCGCGGCGCGCGGCUGCCACCUCUUCUGGUGCCUUCUGCUCAUAACCAAGGCCGGCCUGAACGUGCACAACUCGCACGUCACCGGACUGCACUGCACGCCCAUCACUUCCAUGACCGCCAGUCGCUACGGGGGCUCCAUUUUCACGUGUUCGGCGAACGGCGUCGUCAAGAAGCUCACGCCAAUAUUCACCGACGUGGCUGUCAUGUUCAAACAGGAGCAAAUCAACUUGCCCAGGGGUGUGGAGGGCUGCAGGACGCAUGGAAUUGCCGUCAGCCCGAACGGGGCUUAUCUGGCCAUGGUCACCACGGAGGGGGUGACUAACGGCCAGCAUCUGGUCGCUCGGACGUAUCAGGUGCAGUUCGUCACGCUUAAGACUCCGGACGACGCGGCGGCCGAGCUGCUGGAGUCCGCUAUCCAAAAUCUGUUCAAGCAGACGGACCUGCUGGAUCUGGUGCGCUGGAAGGUGCUGCGUGACAGGCGAAUCCCCCCCAUGUUACUGGAGGAACUGGACGACAAAGUGCACAGCACGGGUUCCACCUACCUGUGGCGUUUCAAGCUCUUCCUGUUCCGCGUGUUGUACCAGUCUCUGCAGAAACCCCCAGCGGGGGCACGUUGGCUGCCGUCGCACGAUGACAUCAAGGUGUUCGUUGUGGAUGAGGACAGCGAGGAGGACGGAGAAGACUCCGCCGCCGGGACGUCGGAGGGAACGGGACUACUACGGGGUGCCGAGAGCGAGGCCUCGGAGGAGCAGAUGAGUGAGGUCAUUGCUUGGAUUGAGGCGGUGGAGUCUCACCUGACACGUGAGCAUAUGAAGAGGGUGCUGGGGGAGGUUUACCUGCACACCUGGAUCACUCAGAAUACCAGCAUCCCCACCCGUGGUGUGUGUGACUUCCUUAUGAGUGACCCCACCUAUGAGGACCGGGCUGCCAGGGUCCUCAUUGGACACAUCUUAAAGAAGAUGAACAAGCAGACCUUUCCAGAAUACUGCAGUCUUUGCAAGGAGGUGCUUCCUUUCACUGACCGCAGACAAGCAGUGUGUAGCAACGGACACAUGUGGCUAAGGUGCGUGCUGUCAUACCAGGCCUGUCAAACGCUCACGUUCAGACGCUGCCUUCUGCAAGACAGCAUUGCCAGACACCCCGUGCCUGAAGACCCAGACUGGAUCAAGCGCAUAUUGCAGGGGCCUUGUACCUUCUGUGACUCGCCUCUCUUCUAGCCAGCUCGCGUACCACGCUACGGCUGCAUCGUCUCAGGCAUCGUGACACAAGCCUAUCUAGACUCCACGGACAGUACACUUUAUUAUGUAAAUGUAGUUAUGCUUUUUAUUAUGAAUUUUAUUAUUGAGUUUUAGGAUCUUUCCUCAUUUUGAGGAAGACUGUGAGAUAAAUACUACAGAGCCUUUUUCUUAAUGUACAGAAUUUCACUAACCCUGGAAAUGGACACUUGGCUCAUCUUCACCUCAAGUCUUUGUUACUGUAUAAUUUUUUUGGGGUUGAUGGCCAGAACAAAGUAAGCUCACCCCUCCCCCCGUCUUUAUUUCUUCUUCUACCCCUAUUUUCACAUUUGCAAAAAAAAAAAAAAAAGUUGUCUUUCUUGUCUGUAUGCCUUUGAUAACUGUAAUUUUCAAGUGCCAAAUUAUUUAAAUGCACAUUUGACUUAAUUGGCUUGAGAAAAUUUUGUGUUGAACAGGCACUUCCUUAGUCAUGCAACCGUUCACUUGAAGAACUAAGACAAGGACUUCAUAUAGAUGAGGCUAGAGACGGGGAAUAAAAAAAAAAAAAAAAAAGUAUGCUGCGGCCAUCCCAAGGGUAUGCCCUCUAAUAAGAUUCCACAGUAAUGAGGGACAGACCCUGCUGGCAGAUGUGAAACUAAUUUUAAUUAAUGGGGUUAGAGUGCAUAUUGUUAAAUAUGAUUAACCCUUUUUUGAGAACAAGGGUUGGGCAAGAUCUUCCCCAACCACGUGACACAUAUUCCCCUGGCCGCUGCUGCCCAACACGGAGGUGAACCGCGGCUGAUCAAAGAGCCGGGGACACUUUGGAGACCUGCUGUGAUCCUGGGCGUCCCCAUCAUGUGUGUUCAUUUGCUCUGUUUCCACUUACACUCUUGACAGCAGGCAGAGAGGGGAGCUCUCUUUCCGCUUAGGGCCAAAGGGGCAAGGAGUGCUGUGGAAUUCAAACGGUGAUACCUCAUUUGGAUGGCUACAUCGUUGCCUUCUCGAAGCCCCGGCUAAAGAGCGUUGCCUUUUCGGUGGGACGGUCGUAAUGUAAAUGUGUCCUGUACUAAUUUGAUUUGCAUCCUUCCAGUAAAUAAUUCCAUUUUACUCCAAAGAGACCCUUCAAAAUCAUUGUGCUUUAAAAGUUAUUCUUGUCAGUAUCGGCUAUUCGUAUGCAGUCGUUACUUAUAGCGUGUAUCAACUUAGCCACACACGGCAUCAUGCGCAACACAUAAGACUGAACUUGAAUUUCACGGACAAUUUAAAAAUAUAAUUAUUCAAUGAGACUUUUUGCCAUUUUUUUUUUCCCACCAUUAUUACGCCACUUAAUUGAAACCUUAUAUUUCCGUUGAUACGCACACGUAAGGUAACUCUGGGCGGACGAACGCAGGAACGGCUCCACGGUUGUGCCCUUUGUCAGCUGCCCGGUUUUUACUAAGUGGGCUGUACGCUUCUCUUGUGUAACGAAGAUGCUUGGCGGUGAGCGUAGUAUUCCUCCAGUUUACCUCAGCCCUCUAGGUGCCUGGCUGACCGCUGCUGUGGCAAUGAAGGGAAGAGGUCCCCAGUCAUCUCACCCACAGAGUUAAAGGGGACACCUUUCGUUCCCCUGUCCUCUGUGCUGCAGAGGGCUAGUAUGGUGAGCUCGCUUGUCCCAAUGGAAGAGAGCCAUUGACCCGUGACGGCCUAGCAAGUGAGAGGAACGCCAGCAGGAGAUGUCAAUAACCAGCGCGUUGCUCGUUCUCGGCGUGUGGCCACUGAAGCGCAACUAAUACCUCCCUGCACACAGGCCCAAACAGACUGUAUUUUACUGCUACAUUAAUUAAACAAACUCAGAAUUAACGAGCAUCCUGUCUGCCCCGUGACAGGAGUGGGUCAAGGGGCUUUGUGUGUAUGCAGAAUAGGGGCCUUUUUUUGCCUAUUCCCUGAUGUUUACUGGCUGCUGUGAGACGAUGGGGAAUUAUAAAGUGGUCUAGAGAAAUAAGACUCUGUCCUGCUCACUUCUGUAACAGAUCACCACAUAGUGCACACACUUAGCUUGCAAUUGUUUUCAUGUUGAACGUUAUACUUUAAACUGGCAAGAAAAAUGUAUCGAUUAAUGAAGUGGAGUGGACAAAAAAAAUGAGUAAUGUAUCGUGCCAAUCAGACAAAGACAUAUUCAGACCCUUAAUUCUACUUGAAAGUUUGGAAAACCCUUGUGUCCUUCAGUUUUACCCCUAAAUGAUUAUUUAAUGAAAAACUCUUUAUCUGUCACAAGAGGUGUGUAAUGACCCCGGAUUCCGUAUGUUGCUUUAGAGGAAAUUGUGCGCAGUGGAAAGUAGGGCAGCUGCAAAAAUAAGUGAACCCCAAGUUACAUUGGUCAAACCAAGUAGGUUAGUAGACUCAGGUGUGUUAAGUAGUGUAUCUAGCAGUGUAAGUCACCUUGGUGAAUAAGG